rnacentral:rRNA from 1 species
GUAGGGAAUAUUGCACAAUGGAGGAAACUCUGAUGCAGCGACGCCGCGUGAGUGAUGAAGGCCUUCGGGUCGUAAAACUCUGUGAUAAGGGAAGAUGAUGACGGUACCUUAUCAGAAAAGACCGGCUAACUUCGUGCCAGCAGCCGCGGUAAUACGAGGGGUCUAAGCGUUGUUCGGAAUCACUGGGCGUAAAGCGGGUGUAGGUGGCUAUGCAAGUUGGAUGUGAAAGCCCCGGGCUCAACCCGGGAAGUGCAUCCAAAACUACGUAGCUUGAGUGCGGGAGAGAAAGGCAGAAUUCCUGGUGUAGUGGUGAAAUACGUAGAUAUCAGGAGGAACUCCGGUGGCGAAGGCGGCCUUUUGGCCCAGCACUGACACUCAGACCCGAAAGCGUGGGUAGCAAACAGGAUUAGAUACCCCGGUAGUCC